CUCUUCCUCUCCAAGGUGGAGCCUCCCCGCUUGGUGUCCGUCGUGUGGGUGCGAGUCUUCCAUGGGAGUUUGGAGGGAGGAAGAAGGAAGAAAAGAAGGAGGAAAGGAGGAACCCAAGGUGGUGGACUUCCGGAUCGUACUUAGGGAUUUGCCCGAACUUCUGGUAAAGGCAAGUAAAUACAGUGGUGGUUGCUACCGUUUGGGUUGCAUCCUGUUCCCUGACAUUGAGUAUGCAUAAGUUUUAAUUAUGUUAAUCAUUGAAUUCUAUGAUGAAGUUUAUUUGUUUGGAAGUAUUAAUUCUCAAUUGUCUAAUAUUGUGGAUGAUCAUAAUUUGGUAAUGAUAUAUGUGGUUGAUUCCUAUCUUGGAUGAAGUUGAAGUAUUUUUUUGAAUCACGUUAUAUGAAGUGUUGUAGGCAUGACAUGAUCAUCGCAUCAUCCAUCUUGCAUUUUGAAGUUAUGUCGUGAUCUUAUGGUCCGACCGUACCGGUACAUUUUUAGCAUCGUACGUUGCCCGAGGAGGGGUACGAUGCGGCUUCAUAUCCUUAGAGGUAUGAAGGCAGAAGUCAUCCUUGCAUUUGCAGACAUUUGCACUCAUGAGGUAUAUAUAUGAAGUGUGACAUUACUAUGUUACUAUUGUGGUUUCUACCUGCAAGGUGUGGUGACUAGGUGUGUUGUACGUUGUAUACAUGCUGCACCUUCGUAAUAAGAAGGUUGUGGAAUCAAGUGGUGGUAAAACAAUGUUCUUAUGUGGUUAACAGUUUGAUAUUAUUUUACUUGCUGAGAUGUGUCAUCUCACUCUUGCAUUACUCAAUGCAGGUACUUGAUACAUGUUGGGAAUGAGGGGAGUAGCAGCACGUCCACUUUCACUCUCACAAUAACGCUGCCCAGGCGCAGCCAUGAUUUAAUUAGAAACUUAUUGUCAAAGGAAGUUUGUUUUUUUAACUAGUCGUGCGCACUAGUUAAUUCACUUCAUGUCGUAUGUUUAACUUCUCUUUGCUAGCCGAUUAAUAAUACUUAGUAUGUUUUUGUCAUGAUAUAUGUUUAUACACUGUUGCCCCCUCAUUUAUGCAAUUUUGCAAGGGGGAUGCUGCCGAAAUUUUAUAUAUAGAUGUCAGAAGUGUUGUUUAGUAGCAUUCCGGGGUGUUGGUGGACCCCGAGGUGUUACAGUUGGUAUCAGAGGAUAGGCUUUAGAUUCUACACAAUUUGAAGAUAAAUUUGACACACUUGCACAUAUACGAAGGGUAUGGGUUCGUAUCUCUUUCAUAUUAGUAUUUUAUUGUAUAGAUGACUAGAACUUCCUUACUCCAAAUCCCUUUAUGGUUUGAUGGGGUAUGUCGUUAUUGACGUAAUGCUUGAUAUGAUAUGUUACUUCUAUUUAGUAUUGGUUUCUUGAUGUGGUUGUUAUUGAAGAUAUUAUGCAAGUGAAGCUACUAAUGUACUUGUUUUAUAUACAUAUCGUCAUGAUGUUUUUUUGGAUGCAAUGUUUUCAAAUCUCUGAGCUAUUACCAUCAUAUAUUUCUAUAUGCUUGAUUGUGGAUGUUUUUUUUCCCAAAAGGAUUCUUGGGUUCUUGUACUUAUAGGACCAAUUGUUUAUUGAGCUUGUGUAUAGUGGGUCUAAUCCGACUUGGUGUAGUGUGAAAACACUAUAUAAUGUAGUUUUAUGGUGUUGUUGAGUUUGAUUGACUGUUGGGUUACAACCCAACUUAUCAAUGUAGUAUUUCCAUGGGUGCAAUGCUUUGCGCCUCACUUUUUUUAGGCUAGUGUGGCUACUUGCUAACUUGAUCUUAGUAUAAAAUUGGUUUGUCUCUAUAGAGCAGAUGCAACGUUGUAAUGUCUAUGAAAUCUUUAGACUGGUAAAACUCGAGUGAAUUUGUGACAUGACGUAGAUUGAUAAGUCCAACCAUGUCUACCUGAUAGGUUUUCUUAUUAUGUGCAACCUUAUUUUUAACAAUAAAUAGGGUGGUUUCAAGUGGAUUUUAUGUCGUGCAUGUUUUCCUUCUAUGGCUUGUUUCAAUAGCCAUAAAGGCUAUGCAUAUUUUUUUUAGUUGUUGCAGGCUAGUCAUGUGGGCGAUAUUGACAACCCGUUUUAUAUUUUUUUUAUUUGCCAACAUUGUAUGGCAGUUUGAUUUUUUAUGAGCAGUUUCUCUAUGCAUGCUUGUUGAAUAAUUAUUUGGACCGCUUUAUCUUAAACGAAGUCAAUGCUUAACUGGGAGUUGCUUAUGUUUGUUAGUCAUCGAUCUCUUUAAUGAUGGGGUUGUUGCAUCGGAUUGAGAUUUUUCUUAUAUGAAUGAUGGUUUGAUAGAUCAUGUAUGUCUACUACUUUGAAUGCAUCAUGUGAUAUCACGAAGUACAAAUUGUUCAAGUGCAGUAAUAGUAGGUUUUGUUGUAUGUGAGGUUAAUCAAGGUAGUUUGGUUAUGUGGAUUGUCUUAUGGACGUCCAAUUACUCCUGUUGAGCAUAGUAUCGUGUUAUUAUUUUAGUAUUGAAAGUAAUAUUUAUGAAGCUUUUGCAUGAGUCUGUGUCAAGAAGUACAUUAGUUUUUCUUGUUAUCCCUCCAUUGCUUUAUGAGUAUUGCAAAUUUUAUCUCUUUUGAGAGGAGGAAAAGACGUUACAUGACAUGAGCACCAUUUGCUUCACGUCAACAGAAUAGUUGUGGAGAGCUCUAAUAGUUGGAUUCUAGUGUAAUAACAACCAUGUUUUAUAGUGCUAGAGACGGGUAUGUUAGGUGUUUCAUACAUUGUCGAUACAUGGAUGUUUGACCUUAGUGGCAUUAACAAAUGAGGUUGUUGAAUUCAUUGAUUGUGGUGCUUAGUGUUCUAACCUAUUAGGUAAAGUGUUGCUUAAAGGCUUUGGGGAGUUGCAUCCCCAUUUGGUAGUGGAAAAUCCUAAUGUUGGUCGCACCUGCCAAUGCCUUGGGUUUUAUUUUAUAUUGUUUUUUUAUUAUGGGUAAGGUGUUGUUUUGUUUUGGGAGUCAUUUUAAAUUAGUUGGAGGCUGAAUCAGGCUUCACUUAUCUAGAAUGUUUUAUAGUAGGUUUCUUCAUCUUUGCAUAGGAUGCUCAAUCACCCAGUUUGGUCUAAACAUUUGAGAGUUAUGGGUUUCCUAUAGCAGCCUUAAUUUUGUACGGAAGUAUAGACAUUGAAUACGGUAAAUUUUGGGUUUUGUUGGAUUAUGAAAGUUUUAGUAAUUUCAUGAUCUUCCCAAAGAGUAUUGGUUUGUAAUUUUCAUUGCAUAUAAUUGGAGUUAGGCUACUCUAAAGUUGUUGCACCGUUGUGUCUGAACUUUAGGUGUCGUUAAAACCACUAAUAAAUCGACUGCGUUUUGAUAGUUUCAGAGCCCAAAUUUGGGAAUUCUCUUUAAGAAAAACUUUUAGUUUUUCUUAGUACCUUUUAAUGGGUAUUUACUUGUAAUUGUCUGUUAAAUAGAUUGGGAGAGGUGGUUGUCCGGAUAUAAGUCGAAUCUCUGAUGUGUAGUAUCUCAGGCUGAGUUUAGCUGUAGGUCAUGCAGAGUUGAGGGCUACAAAGAUAAAUUUGGGUGGAACUUUAUUGCAAAAGUCGUGGACAAUUUCAAAACUUUUCCAACAUGUGUUCGUUGUAGUUUUAAGUUGAGUAUAGCAGGAGUUAUAGUAUUUUGAAUUUUAGUUGUCCAUUGUUUCUAACCUAUCAGUUUUGCAACAAAGCAGUUGCAUUGUUUUAUCGGUUUGGAAACCAAUUCUGAGACACUCAUUAUAAUAAAAGUUUUAGGGAAUGUUAUAAUCUUUUCAAUGAGUUUAUAUUUGUAAAAUUUUGUUAGAUGCAGAGAGUUAUGAGGUUUUGAAUUUAUGGGUCAUGUUCCGUCAGGUUCUGGUGGCAGAUCAUGUAUGUCACAUUACAAGCCAAAUUAAAAAAAUGGAGAUAAAAAAAAAACUUUGUUUAUCCUUUGAAUACAAAAGUGUAGGUCAUGAAGUUUAGAUGAUUUUACAAUAUUUCUUUGUUAUCAUUGCUUUUAUAGUGAAAGAGGCAGAGACAGAAUGAGCAUUUGUGCUGUUGAUUGUCAAUUUUCUAUUUAGAGAUAUUUCUUUGGGAGUUUGGUUUAGUUAUGGUGAGCUCUUUCGCAAUCCAUGUUAAUUAUGUUGUAUGGUGGGAGGGAAUAGAUGUAGUGGUUGUGAUAGUUAUCUUGUUAUUGUAUAUGUGGAGCGUGGGCUAAAACAGAGAGAUAGCGAGGGAUAUUUGAAUAGGCCAGUACGUAUUGUUGUGAAGCCAUGUUUUCUGGUAUUGGCGUGUUUGCGUAAGUAUGAAAUAGUUACGUCGUGUGAAGUCUAGGUGGAGAUGCAUAUUGUCUGAGUUAUUGGAUGGAUAUAUGGGCAGACAUAGUAUACUUAAAUUGAUUCUUGCUUGCAUGAUGUGAGAUCAGGCUUAAAAUGAUUUAAAAAGUAAGCAUAUUGCUUCUACCCUUAUGUUGGCUCUAAGUGUCUCGUAAUGAAGAACCUAAAGUUAUUAGUCCUUCGAUGAACGCUUAAUCUUAGAAGAGUAUAGAACCUGAAUAAAUCUAUUGCUUGCUGUUUGGGACUACAUGACCAGUUUUGGUUAUGCCGCUAGUUCAAUGAAUUACACCAUGUUUUCGGUAGAGGUGUUGUAUAUAAAAAGUUGUAGCCAACUUCUUCAUCUUACUUGUGUAAAAUUUCAUGACCAUAGGUCUAGUAGUUUGGGAGUUAUGAUUUUUCUCAAGUCUAGUCUUGGAAUCUGUCCAGAUUCUGUACAGAUUUCGAAACUGACCUUGUUUGCCCAAGUUAAACUUCGAAUAAGUUCUUAUAAAUUAUAAAGAAGUGGUAGUACUUUCCUUAAUCUUUCCAACAAAUUUUGGAUCACCCUUUUUGGUGACAUAUAAGUUAAGCUACAUCUGUUUUAAUUGGAAUCUUUGAAUCUGUCCAAAUUUGGACAACAAAGCCUUUCUUAUGUCUUUUGAUCUUGAUAUGCAUUGAAUUAACCUGAUAGGUUUAUAAAUGAAAUAUAGACAAUUUUACUGGCUUUCUAAAAAGUCUAGGAGCGCCUGAAUGGGAUGACUGAGACUCCAAUUAUGGAUUUUUGAAGUGAGUAGUUGAAUUUUGUUCAAGUCUGGACAAAAUUUACGUUUCGCAUUGUUUGGCCUUUCUAAGUGUCAAAUCUUGUGGUGAUGAUAAUACCAAGGGUAUAGUGGACUUUGUAAGCUUUCCAUAAAGUCCUAGUUUACUUCUAUUGGAUGAAUAUUUUGUGAGUUAUGAGGAAAACAAAUAACUGUUGUGCUGCUGUCUAGAAAUAUGCAAGCAUUAAAUUGAUCUUUUGAAGUUACUCUUGUUUGGAUAGGUUUGGUUUAGGCUAUUUGAGCACAGUAUGUAUUGCAUUCAUAUAUAUAUAUAUAUAUAUUUAUUGAAGUACUUGCAUGUGUCAAUGUUGAUUUGGUGUUAGGAAAGCUUUGUCCGAGUUAUAUAGGACCAUCUACUAUCUUAGCCCGAGUUGGCAGCUUGGCUUAGCACCUACAAUUGUCGGAGUCUAUGAUCAGAGUACACCAUAUAUUCCAUGUCUUUAUGUUGAGGAAGUAUUUGCGGAAUCCAGACCAUCAAAUCGAGCUAGAGCCGAUUCCUGUGUAGCAAGACCAGACUCUAGAGUGUCGUCUGCUGCGUAUCUUAGAAUCCUAGGAGCUUGAGGAGCUGAUGCGGCAGAAGUACCCGAACCUUUCUUUAUGUGUGAGUUUUGUUGAUUUAUUGAUCUUUCUUUGUCGUUCUGAUAGAAGCGUCGGAAUUCGAGGUCGAAUUCUUUUUAAGGGGGGUAGAGUGUGAUACCCAAUUUUCUGAAAAGAAGUUAAAUGUAUUUUUCCCUUUUCUUUCGUGAUCUGUGUAGUUGGGGUUGGAGUUUUUUAGGAAGCAUUCACCAAUAAAACAGUAGAAUACUUGUUGGAUUUGUGCGUUGGGGUCGGGAGCAGACGUGAGAGCGAGUUUGGGCCGUGGAUCUCGAUCCGGCGGUGGGGAGCCCAUUAGUUCCCCCCCUAAACCCUAGCCGCCCCCUCCCUCUCACUCCCCCACCCCUUUGGCCGCCCCUCCCCUCUCUCUUCCACUCUUGCAGCCGCCCCAAUCCCUCUCCUUCUUCCCCAAGUGAUUGCAGCGCCACCCCUCAACCCUAGCCCCCCCCUCUUCCUCUCCAAGGUGGAGCCUCCCCGCUUGGUGUCCGUCGUGUGGGUGCGAGUCUUCCAUGGGAGUUUGGAGGGAGGAAGAAGGAAGAAAAGAAGGAGGAAAGGAGGAACCCAAGGUGGUGGACUUCCGGAUCGUACUUAGGGAUUUGCCCGAACUUCUGGUAAAGGCAAGUAAAUACAGUGGUGGUUGCUACCGUUUGGGUUGCAUCCUGUUCCCUGACAUUGAGUAUGCAUAAGUUUUAAUUAUGUUAAUCAUUGAAUUCUAUGAUGAAGUUUAUUUGUUUGGAAGUAUUAAUUCUCAAUUGUCUAAUAUUGUGGAUGAUCAUAAUUUGGUAAUGAUAUAUGUGGUUGAUUCCUAUCUUGGAUGAAGUUGAAGUAUUUUUUUGAAUCACGUUAUAUGAAGUGUUGUAGGCAUGACAUGAUCAUCGCAUCAUCCAUCUUGCAUUUUGAAGUUAUGUCGUGAUCUUAUGGUCCGACCGUACCGGUACAUUUUUAGCAUCGUACGUUGCCCGAGGAGGGGUACGAUGCGGCUUCAUAUCCUUAGAGGUAUGAAGGCAGAAGUCAUCCUUGCAUUUGCAGACAUUUGCACUCAUGAGGUAUAUAUAUGAAGUGUGACAUUACUAUGUUACUAUUGUGGUUUCUACCUGCAAGGUGUGGUGACUAGGUGUGUUGUACGUUGUAUACAUGCUGCACCUUCGUAAUAAGAAGGUUGUGGAAUCAAGUGGUGGUAAAACAAUGUUCUUAUGUGGUUAACAGUUUGAUAUUAUUUUACUUGCUGAGAUGUGUCAUCUCACUCUUGCAUUACUCAAUGCAGGUACUUGAUACAUGUUGGGAAUGAGGGGAGUAGCAGCACGUCCACUUUCACUCUCACAAUAACGCUGCCCAGGCGCAGCCAUGAUUUAAUUAGAAACUUAUUGUCAAAG
rnacentral:lncRNA from 1 species